rnacentral:rRNA from 1 species
GAGUAAUGUCUGGGAAACUGCCUGAUGGAGGGGGAUAACUACUGGAAACGGUGGCUAAUACCGCAUAACGUCGCAAGACCAAAGAGGGGGACCUUCGGGCCUCUUGCCAUCAGAUGUGCCCAGAUGGGAUUAGCUUGUUGGUGAGGUAACGGCUCACCAAGGCGACGAUCCCUAGCUGGUCUGAGAGGAUGACCAGCCACACUGGAACUGAGACACGGUCCAGACUCCUACGGGAGGCAGCAGUGGGGAAUAUUGCACAAUGGGCGCAAGCCUGAUGCAGCCAUGCCGCGUGUAUGAAGAAGGCCUUCGGGUUGUAAAGUACUUUCAGCGGGGAGGAAGGUGUUGUGGUUAAUAACCGCAGCAAUUGACGUUACCCGCAGAAGAAGCACCGGCUAACUCCGUGCCAGCAGCCGCGGUAAUACGGAGGGUGCAAGCGUUAAUCGGAAUUACUGGGCGUAAAGCGCACGCAGGCGGUCUGUCAAGUCGGAUGUGAAAUCCCCGGGCUCAACCUGGGAACUGCAUUCGAAACUGGCAGGCUUGAGUCUUGUAGAGGGGGGUAGAAUUCCAGGUGUAGCGGUGAAAUGCGUAGAGAUCUGGAGGAAUACCGGUGGCGAAGGCGGCCCCCUGGACAAAGACUGACGCUCAGGUGCGAAA